UUUGUGUUUUUAAUCAAAUAAUACAUACACAUAAAUUAAAAACUAAAAUUCUAUUUCAAGAGUCCUAUCCCAAUCUGUACUACUCCCAAUUCCCUUUUUCCAUGGGCGAUUCCAUUUAAUUCUUUUAGUUGUUUUUUUACCCUCUUUAUCAAACACUUCUGAUGUGCAACUUUGGAGACAGACAACCUCGCUUGUCUCUAAAGAGUCUGGCUGCUUGUUCUGUCACCUCUGCAAUGACCAGCUCUGCGUGGGCUCUCACUAACUUCUAACUUUGACCAGUCAUGAUCCAAUAGGCUCUCACUUCCAGCCCACCUCCCUUGCCUCACAUCCGGGGCUUCCCUAUUGAUGCUGAGGUAUCAGCUGGUACCCUCGGUGACUGUGUUUGCUUAACUCAAAAAUAGGAAGCGAACCUUUGACCAAUACGAUAUGGAAGCUGGUGGUUAAUCUUCUCCCCUUUACCCCCGACAUAAUGGACCAUCUCAAGUCAUGGCCAUUUAUAUGGCCUCUCACAGGAUGGUCCAGUGAGCAUGAGCCAUCGGUCAUACUUGACAUCAAGAGUGGCUGACUUGGUAACAACUGGACAACCCCUUGUUUAAUGCUCCCCUUUUACUCACCUCCCACCCCCUUUCCCUCAUCUCUCUUUCUCUAUUAUUGUCCUUAAUAAAGAGCGCAUAUCAGCCUUUGUCUCAGGCUCUGCUUUCUUAGAACCAAGGGUAGAACUCUCCAUAUUUCUAAAUAACUUGUUUAAACUGCUGCAUCUUGAUUUUUCAAUUUAAGACAUUAUCAAUUGGCUUUUUUUUCAUGAAAGAUGAGGAUUUAGUGUUCUUACAUUUCCAUUUCCCACCACCCAAUGCAUUUUUCACUCUCAUCCCUCUAUAUGUUCUGCAGCAAUUUUGGUUAAAUAAAUAUUUCAUGACUAUAUUAUUAUAAUUGCCUUAAUAAAAUUCACAGCUGAGUCAUAUAGUAUACUAGAAUUUAUUCCUUUUCUUUUUAAUUAGCUAAUUUUUAUGUACCUAUCACUAAUUAAACCCCACACUCUUUGACAGAACAUUAAAACUUCUUGCGUUAGAGUCAAACACACCGAGGAAUUUAUUAGUUCAAUUUGCCCGUGUGUACAUGUGUGUGUUUAGGCUCAUUCUUUCUGGAAACCUUCAUCUUCUUGCCCCAGUCAGAACUCGCUCUAUAGGUUUGCUGCUCAGCCAUCAGACUGGAGAAUCCUUUCACCACUGUUAUCGGAAUUCAGGUCCUCUCACUCUUGUUUUUUCAUCCUCCUGCUUUUUGUCUUCCUCUUUCUUGGAUUCCUCCCUUGCUUUUGCAGAGCACAUUUCCAGUAACUUCCUGGGAAAGGAUUUGGGAGGUAAACCUUUGGAGAUUCUACAAGUCUGCAAAGUGUAUCUACCUUUACACACUGAUGGUUUGGCUACAUAUGGAAUCCUAGGUUGACUGUCAUUUUCCCUAAGAACUAUGUAGACUUUUCUCCGUUAUCUUUCUGUAUUCCUCUUGAGAAAUUUAAUGGCAUUCUGACUACUGGUCCUUUGUGAGUUAAUUGUUUCUCUCUCUCUAGAAGCUUUUAGAAUCUGUUCUUGAUCUUGGUGAUUUGAAAUACAGUGAUAUGCCUUUGUGUGUGGCAGUUAUGGCUAGCCGUCCACUGAAAUCCUCUCUUCUCUUCCACAGUACAGCGUUGAACCUGGAAGGAGGCUGAGAGAUGAGAAACCUCACUUUCCAGUUCUUUUUGAAAACUGGAUGCAGAUGACAGUGGUGGACUAGGGGAUGGCAGGGCCACCAAAGGGAGUCAUCAUGGGCACUGCACUCAUGACGUGGAAGAGCUCCGAAGCAGGCAAAGUUCCAGAUGAAGCUACACUGUCAGCCUGAGCCCUGGAGUGAAGAUGAUUGACACGGAGCGGAGCCUCAGCUGAACCACGAUAGACGUGUACAAUGAACCAGAGGGGAAACCAACAGCGUGGGAUCAGGAAAAAAUGGACAGUAAGAGAAAGAAGUAAAGAGAGAAGGCCCCAGAAGUGAUGUUGUAAAAGUUCCAACCCGAGGCCUCUCAUGCUGGGAAUCCUGAUGGAGAAAGAAAAUCCAGGUGGAGAGAGGCCCCAGCUGUCUCUGCCUUCCCAAACAUCUCAAUAGAGGCCCAGACCUGUGGGUGAACCCAGACGAGAGCAGCUUCCUUUUUCAACUGCCAUGUGGACCUCAAGUUCUGGCAUCGGACAUGAAGAUAACAGCCUUACAGACAUUCUCGGGUUUCAAUUCAUUUUUGGCUAACGACCACAGGAAGAGCAGAGCAUAAUGUGUCUUUCUUGUUUAUUUGACGUGACUUAUGACGGGAGCGUAUGGCUGGAUUCGGGGCCGAUCCUUGGUCAGUAUCAUCCCAUAUGGGCAUACUGCUUAUGACCAGUGAAGUCCUGAUUGGCUGGCAGAUCCAUUCCGAUGGGUCAGUUCCUGUACUGUACCAGUGAUCAAAUAUUUGGAAUAUCAUCCCUAGCUGGAUUUCAUGUAUUAAUGCAAUAUGACAACUUUUGUCAUUUAACUAGAGAGCUGGCGUCCACAUGUCAGUCCAUUUAUGUUUGUUCUGAUUAAUGACUUGAUUUCUUUCCACCGUUUUGUUGUGUGGUUUCUGUUGAUCUCAAUCUUCUUUUUUCUUCCUUUAUUUUUGCCCAGUUGAUUUUUUCCCCCUUAAUCUCAUUCCACGUUUUUGCUGCUGCUUGUUAGGAACUUAUAUAUUUUAUGUCUAUUUUAAGUUUGUUUUCCAUAAUUAUUUUAACGUGCGUCUUUAACAAAACCUAAUUUAAUCAAUGUUUACCUUCCUCCUAAAUCAAGGGCCCUAAAAGGCUCUGUCUCCCCUUCCCUACACUGCACUAUUUCCCCCAAUAUUUUAGUUCUAUCCUGACCCACUCCCCUAGAAUUGGAUAUUAUUAUUAUUGCUUUAUACGGCCAAUAGUAGUUUAGCUUACUGUAUAUUUACCAAUUUUUUUUUGCUUAUCAUUCCUCUCUACACUUGAAAUGUUCCCUCUGGGAUCAUUUUCCUUCUUCAUGAAGAAAUUCUUUCAGUUAGAAUCUGUUGGUGAUAAACUCUCAGUUUUUAUUUAUCUGAAAAUGUCUUUGUUUUCAUGCUUAAGGAUUAAUUUCAUUGGUUAUGGAAUUCUAGGUUGACGCUUUUUAUAUUAGCACAUUAAGAUAAAAUUUUCAUGCUUUACGUCUUUUAUUAUUUUAGAUAAGUCAGCCAUCAGUCUAUGGUAUUAUUUGGAAGAUGGCCUUUUUUUUCCUAUCUGACCACUUUUAAGAUCUUUUCUUUUUUCUUUAUUGCUCUUCAGUUUCACUAUUGUGUAUCCAGGUAUAGAUUCCAUUUUAAUUUACUGUUUUUGGCAUUUAUUCUUAACAUGAGGAUUUGUAUUUAUCAAGAGUCCUAUAAAAUUAUCAGCCAACAUCUUUAUAUAUUGACUUUUUUUCAAUAUCUAUUUACUUUUUUUGAAACUCCAGUUAAAUGAAGUUUAGAACGUUCUAGUUUAUUCAUCCUGUCUCUUAAUAUCUUUUGUGUUUUCUCUAUCCUGUCUUUGAGCUAAUUUCUGUGUUAUAGCUUCAGAUUUCUUUUCUAGUUCACUGUGGUCUUCUUAAUGUGUCUAAUUUGUUUAAUCCAUUCAUUGAGCUUUAAAUUUUAAUAUCUUUUAUUUCUAGGGUUCUUUUUUGUUUCUCUAAAAAUCUGCUUGGGUAUUCUUUAUGGUCUCUUAUUCCUUUUGCAUGUCAACAGGAUCUUUUGUGUUUUUUUUUUUUAACA